rnacentral:lncRNA from 1 species
AUGUUCAUUAAUCGUUGAUUAUUCUCAACAAACCACAAAAACACUGACACAUUAUAAUUUGGUGCCUAAGCCAGAAUAGUGGGGACUGCCUUCCAUCUUCUUAAAUUGGGUCAGCCAGAAGCUAUGUAUUAGGAGAUGAUCAAAUCUGUAAUGUUAUCAUUGCUGCCUAUAUAUUUGCAAUAAUUUUUUAUGGUUUUACCUAUUCUAAUCAAUGGUUUCAGUAAUUUAUUAAUUCCAUUAAUAAUUGGGGCUCCAGAUAAAGUAUUCCCAGAAAUACAGAAUAGGUUUCUGACUUCUGCCCCUAUCAUUCCUCCUUUAGCUGGAAAUUUAGCCCAGGCAGGAGCUUCUGUAGAUCAAACCAUUUUCUCAUUACACUUAGCAAAUAUUUCAUCAAUGUUAGAUGCUACUAAUUUUAACAGUUAUUAAUAUUCAACCACAAACUAUAUCCAACAUCAAAAAUUGAUAUUUAUUUGAUCUGUAUUAAUUACAGCUGUGCUCUUGCUACUUUCUCUUCUAGUUUUAGCGCUGGCAUUACUACACCUG